rnacentral:rRNA from 1 species
UAGCGGCGGACGGGUGAGUAACACGUGGAUAACCUACCUAUAAGACUGGGAUAACUUCGGGAAACCGGAGCUAAUACCGGAUAAUAUAUUGAACCGCAUGGUUCAAUAGUGAAAGACGGUUUUGCUGUCACUUAUAGAUGGAUCCGCGCCGCAUUAGCUAGUUGGUAAGGUAACGGCUUACCAAGGCAACGAUGCGUAGCCGACCUGAGAGGGUGAUCGGCCACACUGGAACUGAGACACGGUCCAGACUCCUACGGGAGGCAGCAGUAGGGAAUCUUCCGCAAUGGGCGAAAGCCUGACGGAGCAACGCCGCGUGAGUGAUGAAGGUCUUCGGAUCGUAAAACUCUGUUAUUAGGGAAGAACAAAUGUGUAAGUAACUAUGCACGUCUUGACGGUACCUAAUCAGAAAGCCACGGCUAACUACGUGCCAGCAGCCGCGGUAAUACGUAGGUGGCAAGCGUUAUCCGGAAUUAUUGGGCGUAAAGCGCGCGUAGGCGGUUUUUUAAGUCUGAUGUGAAAGCCCACGGCUCAACCGUGGAGGGUCAUUGGAAACUGGAAAACUUGAGUGCAGAAGAGGAAAGUGGAAUUCCAUGUGUAGCGGUGAAAUGCGCAGAGAUAUGGAGGAACACCAGUGGCGAAGGCGACUUUCUGGUCUGUAACUGACGCUGAUGUGCGAAAGCGUGGGGAUCAAACAGGAUUAGAUACCCUGGUAGUCCACGCCGUAAACGAUGAGUGCUAAGUGUUAGGGGGUUUCCGCCCCUUAGUGCUGCAGCUAACGCAUUAAGCACUCCGCCUGGGGAGUACGACCGC